rnacentral:rRNA from 1 species
GUGUCAGCCGCCGCGGUAAAACGUAGGUGGCGAGCGUUAUCCGGAUUUACUGGGCGUAAAGCGCGUGCAGGUGGUUUGGUAAGUCGGGCGUGAAAUCUCCUGGCUCAACUGGGAGGGGCCGUCCGAUACUAUCAGACUUGAGGGCAGUAGAGGGAGGUAGAAUUCCGGGUGUAGUGGUGAAAUGCGUAGAUAUCCGGAGGAAUACCUGUGGCGAAGGCGGCCUCCUGGGCUGCCCCUGACACUCAGACGCGAAAGCUAGGGGAGCGAACGGGAUUAGAUACCCGCGUAGUCC